AGGGGGAUGAGUCCCCGACCUCCAACCCUGCCUCCGGGAACCCCACCUCCCACCCGUGAAUACCUAACGGUGUUGAGUCGGCGGGGAACCCUCUCGGGGGCGAGCCGCCGGGGACUAAUGAACUUCAUGCCUGAGAGUGAUGCAGUCUGAGUUAGAAUAUAAAAUCAAUCAAAACUUUCAACAAUGGAUCUCUUGGUUCCGGCA
rnacentral:misc_RNA from 1 species